rnacentral:tRNA from 1 species
UGCAUCGGCCGGGAAUCGAACCCGGGACACCCGCGUGGCAGGCGAGCAUUCUACCACUGAACCACCGAUGG